rnacentral:rRNA from 1 species
UACGGAGGGUGCAAGCGUUAUCCGGAUUCACUGGGCUUAAAGGGUGCGUAGGCGGGCAGGUAAGUCAGUGGUGAAAUCUCCGAGCUUAACUCGGAAACUGCCUUUGAUACUAUCUGUCUUGAAUAUGGUGGAGGUAAGCGGAAUAUGUCAUGUAGCGGUGAAAUGCUUAGAGAUGACAUAGAACACCUAUUGCGAAGGCAGCUUACUACGCCUAUAUUGACGCUGAGGCACGAAAGCGUGGGGAUCAAACAGG